rnacentral:tRNA from 1 species
GCCACGGUGGUCCAGCGGUUAGAACGCUGGCCUUGUAAUCCUGGAGUCUCGGGUUCGAUUCCCGGCGGUGCCC